AGGGAAUAUUGGACAAUGGGCGAAAGCCUGAUCCAGCAAUGCCGCGUGAGUGAUGAAGGUGUAAUGCAUUGUAAAACUCUUUUAUCGGGGAAGAUAAUGACCGUACCCGAAGAAUAAGCACCGACUAACUAUGUGCCAGCAGUCGCGGUAAUACAUAGGGUGCAAGCGUUGCUCGGAAUUACUGGGCGUAAAGAACAUGUAGGAGGAUUUUCAAGUCGUUAGUGCAAUCCCAAGGCUCGACCUUGGAACUGCUAACGAUACUGAAAAUCUAGAGUAAGAUAGAGGGUGGUAGAAUUCUUAGUGUAGGGGUUAAAUCCAUAGAUAUUAAGAGGAAUACCGAAAGCGAAAGCAGCCACCUGGGUCUUUACUGACUCUAAAGUGUGAAAGCGUGGGGAUCAAAC
rnacentral:rRNA from 1 species